AAGUACGCACGAUUCUUUAUUUCACCUUUCCCAGUAUGCCUGAUGCCUCCUUCCUUUUCCCUAUUUCUCUGAUUCCAUCUUUUUCAAGUUUUUGCAGCAUUCCUCUCCCAAUUGAAUAAAAAAGUCACCUUUUUAACAAAACUGUAAAGAUUCCUCCUUGUUUGCUUCUGCGGAGGUAUCGAACACCAACCGAGCUCUCCCACCUUCUUCCUUUUUGUGUUCUUUUUUGGGUUUCUGUUCAUGAUUUGUCAUCCAUAUGCGUAAAAGUUUGAGCGUUGGUGCUCUCUCCAUGAUUCCCCCUCUCUAUUUCAUAGAACAGGACCUAAAACCUUCCCUUCAACGCCAAGCAUUUGGUUCCAUCGAAGAGACUGAAUUCAUAUAGUUUAAAGAUGGAGGAAGUUUGAAUUUUGAAAGUUGGUUUUUUGUUCUUGCCCUAUUUUUGUUUGAUUGAAUAUUGAUAUGAUUUCACGUUGGUUCUAUUCUACAAGUCCUACUGUCCGUCUAUCCGAUUCUCUAAAUAUUCUGUCUGUGUUUAUUCUCCCCGAGCAAUAAAAUCGGAAGAUUCCCACCAUGUUGCUUCCAGUCCAAUUCCAGUUCCUCUUGUUGUGGAGGAUAACUCAUCUGAAGUGAAGACUGAGGUGAAGGAGAAAGGGGCAGGAAAUGAGAAAGCUGAUGGUUUACUGAAGAGCAGCCUGAAGAAGUCAGCUGGUUCAGGAAAGGAGGAGGUUGGUAAAGGGGGGGGUGAAAUGGAUGGAUUUGGUUGGGAAAGAACUUGCGGCGAUCAGGGAAUUUGAACCCAUGUUAUUAGAGUUCAAUGGUCAUUACAUGCAAGGGAAGCAAUUGUCUUUGAGCUUCUGCAACACGAAAGGAACUGUCACAAAAAGUUUACUGGAAAGAAUUAAAAAUACUACAAGUGAAAUGCUACAAGAGCAGGAAGUAGUUCGUGGACGAAUCUUCACCAUUCAAGACGUACUUCAAAGCACAGUUCGUGCAUGUUUAGAGGAUAAAAGUCUGAGAAUUACUCAUAAUCUGAGAAUCUUAGGGGUUUGUGGACUGUUUGUUUCCAUAAUAGUUGGCCUUUUUGGGAUCAAUCUGGAUGGAAUCUUUCGAGCUAAGAACAUUCCAUAUGCAUUUGUACUGUUUUGUGGACUUCUCCUCUUCAUUGGAAUAAUAUUAAUUUAUUUUAGCAUUCUCUAUUUUCGGCUGAAGAAAGAAGCCUGACACUGAAGAGCAGGUCAAUGGAUAGUUUUGGGGGAGAUGCAUAGAGAUCUUUCAAAAAUAUAAACGUGUUUCAGGGUUCUAAUGUGGAAUGGUGUAGUGAGGAAGAAGCAACAUGAACAUUCAAGUUGAGUUCAAAAGGGGAGUUAUUAACAUUUAAAUGGCAUUCCAAUUGGUAAUUGCUACAAAAAGUUUUAUGUGAAAAUAUGGAGAACUGCAUUUCUGUAAAGUUUAGCUAUUGUUUAGUUAUUUUGAAAUGUUUCUGUGUAAUGCUUCUUUAAAGUUUAUCUAUUGUUGCAUUUGGUAUUUUCAC